rnacentral:lncRNA from 1 species
UUGUCCGCGUUGAUGGAGACCAGGGAUGUGAGGGGCAGCCGCGGUCUGUGGCGCCCACGCGGAACUCGAACGCCUGCAGGGCCUCGUAGUCCAGGGACCUGAGGGCAAACAGGUGGCCGUUGUCCGCGUUGAUGGAGACCAGGGAGGCGAGGGGCAGGUUUCUCUGUUACCAGAGUAUAGAAGUUUUCGACAGAUGGCUUCAGGAUGAAGGGGACAUCGUCCUGGAUGGAGCACACUGUCUUUCCAUUGUUCCCGGAAUCUCUGUCUCUAAUCCUAAAAACAGCCACGACUGUCUCGGCCAGCAGCGCCACCUUGCGUUUUGUGGAUGUUAUUCCCGUUAUCAAGACUAGAACAAAAAGAUGGCGGAUUGAAGGAAUUCUGCAACAAGAAUGAUUUGUCCCCGGUAUCUUUGCUGUUUCAUUCCAUCUUUAUCCUCAAAUGGUCACAGUAAUGCUACCACAGAAUAGCGUCUUGACUCGGACCCAGCCAGAGACCCUCCCAGAAAAACAAAGAGAAGCAAGACUUGCCUUUGUCUAAGAAAUCGCUCUCCUCCCGCCUCCAUUGCACUUUCCGUCACGCUCUUCCAGGGAAUGUCGCCAAGCUGAACCUCAGACAGAGCUGGGAAACAGUCUUUUGCCCCACAACCUUUGUAGACGGCCUAGUGAAUAAGCCUUUCCAGAGGCUCAGACUUGCUGGCUCAAAAAUCUGCCUGGGCUCUCAACCGCUGGUUUACCACACUGGAUCCGUGCGUCACCGAGCAUGCACAAUGCCUGUGGUUUAAUUCGCCUUCUUAGUCAACAGCGCCACCAUGCGUUCGCUUGCAGUUACAAAAUCUUGGAGAAGGUGUUUUUAUUUUGCUUUAUCGAUUAUUCUUAUCAACCCUAGUUGACGCUACUGGAGGAGUUUCUCAUGUUAUAUGAAUUAAAUAAAUGCAAUCUAGGGAAAUAAAAUGCACUUUUAUCUACGAGCAGCGAUUCUUCCUGGUAGAGUCCUCAUUUACACGAUUUAACGGAAGUGUACACAUACUAGUUUACCCCUCCCCUUUUGUAAUAAUUACACACAAACUUCAAAAGAUUUUUGCUCUAGAUGAUAGCAUGCUUCACUAUCCUAUUUAUGUUUUUCUUUUUUUCCUAAACUUUGUGAAAUGAGCCCGAAUUGCAUAUACCAGAAAAACACAAGGAAAAGACACCU